rnacentral:lncRNA from 1 species
AGCUACGAUAGCCCAGUGAGUAGAAUAGGCAAAUAACAGGUGAUAAAACAUGCUCUCAUGGAAUGCAACACAUAAGCACAUCACCUCGGCCGGACGGAUCAAAACUCCCUCUAUCUCAUCUGGGGUACCUGAGUACCAUGUGCCUGGUCCCCGUAGGGCUGUUCCAGGUCUUUGUGUGCCUGGUCCCCGUAGGGCUGUUCCAGGUCUUCCUCUGAGAGCUAAUGAAUCCUCACGAAGUCCGUGCCGCCUCACAUAAGCAAUGUACAAGGAGCAGUGCCAAGUACAAGGAUAAAUGCAAUGCAUCAUCUUUGUGUACACUAAUGCACUCACCCUAUAGCAUAUUCAUGAUGCAUGAAGCAUGAUAAAAUAUUCAGUUCUCAUAUUAAAACAUUAAGUUAAAUUCCA